rnacentral:rRNA from 1 species
UACGGAAGGGGCAAGCGUUGUUCGGAAUCAUUGGGCGUAAAGGGCGCGUAGGUGGCGCCGUAAGUCGGGUGUGAAAUUUCGGAGCUUAACUCCGAAACUGCAUUCGAUACUGCCGUGCUUGAGGACUGGAGAGGAGACUGGAAUUUACGGUGUAGCGGUGAAAUGCGUAGAUAUCGUAAGGAAGACCAGUGGCGAAGGCGGGUCUCGUGGACAGUUCCUGACGCUGAGGCACGAAGGUCAGGGGAGCAAACGGG